rnacentral:rRNA from 1 species
GACGAACGCUGGCGGUGUGCUUAAUACAUGCAAGUCGAACGUGAAGCUACCUUCGGGUAGUGGAAAGUGGCGGACGGGUGAGUAACACGUAGGUAAUCUGCCUUAAGGUGGGGGACAACGUUGGGAAACUGACGCUAAUACCCCAUAUGUGGCGAGCUGCAAUGCUCGUUAUGAAAGUUCCGGCGCCUUAAGAUGAGCCUGCGGCUGAUUAGUUUGUUGGUGGGGUAAUGGCCUACCAAGACUAUGAUCAGUAGCUGGUCUGAGAGGAUGAUCAGCCACAAUGGGACUGAGACACGGCCCAUACUCCUACGGGAGGCAGCAGUAGGGAAUUUUGCGCAAUGGGCGAAAGCCUGACGCAGCAACACCGCGUGAGUGAUGAAGCAUCUUGGUGUGUAAAACUCUGUCAGAAGGGACGAAUCAAUGACGGUACCUUCAAAGGAAGCAUCGGCUAACUACGUGCCAGCCGCCGCGGUAAUAC